CCCCUCCCCUGGUCCCUUGGAAUGCUGAAUUCUAGAGAAGAAUAAACAGAUGGUAUAAUUAGGAGCUUAAGGCCUUUUAGGAUGGAAAAGAUCAAGAACCAAAAUCAAAUUCCUCCAAAAUCAAAAGUGAAGAAGGCCUGUUUGGGAAGGACAAAGUGAUCUAAGAUUCACAGCAAGAAGAGACUCUACAGGCUUUAAAGGUGAGCUCACAAGAAAGCAGAAGAAUAGCCUGGUGACCCAGGCUCAACUUACAGCCUGGAAAUGAGGCCGAUUUUGUAGUAUAACAGUGGAGGUGGAGCAUUCUCUUCUGGCUUCUCUUCUUUGGGAUUUUGAGUGGGAGUUUAAAAAAAAUCGUGUAAUUAGGGGAAGCAUUGAGACUAAUGUCUCUAGGUUAGGAUUUCUGCAAACAAAGCUUCCAGAUCUUGAUGGAUUAGGAUCCCUUUGAAGGAUUACCACUUUCCUCAGUGGUUCUCCCUUGUGGCAAAGACUACAGUGCUUGGAGCAGAUAGAAUUUAGGCAUCUUCCACUAGGUGUUUGGACAAUGAAGGGGGGAAAUAAAAAAGAUCUGGCUAAACAAAUGAAAGGAAAAGAACUUGAGCUUUCAGCCACUAGUAGUAGUUGGGGGCUUGAGAACUUUCUUGAACUAUUUAUGGAGGGUUAUUUUGUUUGUCUUUCUGGUUUGUUCAAAAAGAUCACUUUAGUUGCAGAAGAUGGAGCUAAUUAAUGGAAGGAGGGGUUCCCAGAUGGAUAUUAAACAUCUAACUUCCUUAACAUCAACCUGGAGGGACUCUGGAGAUGCAGCAUCAAAACAGGGAAAACAUUGUAAGCACCCCUGGAAAAAAACCAGUGGAGGAGAGAGACAGUUUUGAACUUUCUAGUAUAUGCAGUCAAAAGCCUAGAUUAGGAGGCAGCCAGUGGCUGUGCGGAAACAGGAGAAAGGACCUGCUGGAGUUCUGCUCUUCCUUCUCCCCAUCUGUGGUGUGGCCUGCUGUACUGGUAUUCACACCAG
rnacentral:lncRNA from 1 species